UUGCUUGCUUUGGCAGCACAUAUACUAAAAUUAAAACAAUACAGAGAUAAGCAUGGCCCCUUUGCAAGAGUGACACCCAAAUUUGUCAAGUAUUCCAUUUAUUU
rnacentral:snRNA from 1 species